CGAAAUCCCAUUAACGUACCCAAAAUCCCAAUAAAGUGCCCCAAAAUCCCACUGAUGAGACCCAAAACCCCAUUAAAGUGACCCCAAAUCCCAAUAAAGUGCCCCAAAACCCCAUUCUGUGACUCAAAACCCCAUUAAAUGACCCCAAAUCCCAUUGAAGUGACCCCAAAUCCCAUUAAUUGACCCCAAAUCCCAUUGAAGUGACCCCAAACCCCAUUAAAGUGACCCCAAAUCCCAAUAAAGUGCCCCAAAACCCCAUUAUGUGACUCAAAACCCCAUUAAAGUGACCCCAAAACCCCAAUAAAGUGCCCCAAAACCCCAUUCUGUGGCUCAAAACCCCAUUAAUGGACCCCAAAUCCCAUUGAAGUGACCCCAAAUCCCAUUAAAUGACCCCAAAUCCCAUUGAAGUGACCCCAAAUCCCAUUAAUUGAC
ensembl:lncRNA